UCUGACUUAUAGGGAGUUUCAAUUCAGGAAUUAACCUUCUCCAAUUUACGGAGCACAACUUAGACGACCUGAGCAGCAAAGACGCCAUGAGCCAUGAACUGCUGAAGGCAGAGCUUCAGCUUCUUCCAGUCAGCUCCAAGAUGUCAGGUUCUCUUCACCAUCGGAAACCAGCAGUGAGAUCAUAUAGUUUGGAAGAAACUUUGUCCAGGAGCCACACCUUCCACACCAUGGGGCAGUUCACCAUCAACGUGCGGCAGGAGAACCAUGUGACCACGGGUAAAUCCUUCGCACUGACUAGAUUGCAGAUUACAGGAAGUCUCUGAUUUCCUUUUUAUCCCCUCUGUCAUCUCAAGACAACAUCGUCCUUCAGAGGCUUCCUGUGACAUGGUUUUGAACACAGUCAAAGAUCCACCCGAAAGUAUGUGAGGAUUGUGUGGGAAAAUGUCUGCUGCCUCUGGGCCUGGCUAGCUCCUCACUAAUAGGUCCUUGAUGUUUACUGUAUAUUUAAAUCCCAUAAUUUAUGUUCUGGACGAUCAGGUCACAUAAAUCUGAAAUCCACUGGUCAAGAUGAACACUGUCUUUAAGGUUUGCAAGUUCCAGGUAUUACUGUAGCCAAACAUAAAAAGUUAAUGGUAGGUGAUGUAGUUUAACAAGGAUUACAGUGGU
rnacentral:lncRNA from 1 species